CUCCAGACCUCCGGGAGGUGGAGGCUGGCUUUGUCUUUGCAGGGUAUAACAUCCGCACAGACAGUAUUUAGUCAGACCCAGACAGUUGCUCAGCCCAGCAACUUAGCUGUGCAAACGAAAUGGUCUCCCAUAAAGGAAGCAUUUACACUACAUCUGCAAAUUACUCAUGUCCAGAACAGCUGCUCACAGUAUCUGCCGAAAAGCCAGCUUGCUGACACAUUUCCAGAACGUACCACGAGUUUUUUUACAGAUUGGAAGACGACCCUUACCUGCAGCAGAAGCAGAGGAAGAUUUUCCGGCGUGUACUCUCUUCUUAGGCAGCUCUCUAGCUCCCUCUGCAGGACAUCUGCCUGAAUAACAAGGGGCUUGCACUCCGCCACCUAAACAACGAGUUUCAAACAUCAUCAAUCUAUCAAAUUUCAAAAGUCACAAAAUCAGAUCUCCCUGAGGAUACAAUGACUUGCACUUUUCUAGCACUGAGAAGGCUCUUUUGUUCAAUAUCAUUAGCCGUUUGCAAAAAAUAAACUUUCCUUGCAAAUAGUUCCCUAAUUGAUGAAAUGGAAUGUGUUGUCCUGAAGCCAUUCACGUUCCUACUCACCCCGAGGGUUCUCUUCAGAGCCACUUCCCGUUCGCGUCUGAAGUGAGCGACAUCCUUUGGUAUUUGAACAGAGCUGCAGGAAGGUUUGAACCACAGAAACCGCGGUUAUGGAGAGCUGUGAUAAAGAAGAUGAUGGCCGACCUGGUGGCUCUGUGACCCUUUCCAGCCGCUCAUUUCAGAGAGCGCCAAAACUUCCCGGGUUCCUGGAGUCCUGAUAGGAAACCACUAAACCGGAAGACCACCUCGGGGAUCACCGGAAAUGAACUACUGAUACAAAACAGCUACAAGAAGUCACCAUGGCCAAUUCAUUCUCCAGGUGACUGACACCCCCAGUUGCCCCUACAAACUUCUUGAAGCACUGCACCCCCAAUCUGAGCAAUGCUGAUGUCUGAAGGUUCUCAAUGACUUUUCCCGUAUGGCAAUUAUUAGAAUUGUUUUCUACUGUGAAGAAAAUAAUACAUUUGGUGGCUUUGCAGUUCUUCAGAACAAUAUUGAUGUGACCACAGAAAAAUCUGGAGAACAGAACAGCUACAGAAUUAAAAUGGAGAAUUAAAAGUCACAGAAAUUCAUGUUCCCUCUUGGGAGUUACUUCACAAAGCUAUUUUUGAGGCAAGCUACUUAUCUUUUCUACUAACCCAUUGUAAAAUUGAGAACAGCAAACUGUCUUGCUUAUCAGGGUUGCUACAUUGUUGCUUUUGCAGGCAUACUUUUUAUGGCCUGCUAACUAUUGUUACCAAGACAAAUGGGGUUUGCCAAAGGCAAAUCUUUGCUGGGUUCAGAUUGCAGACAUGCGAACUAUGAGUCUCAUCUCUCUACAGAUUAUAAAACAGACCACAGCACCGGCAGAACACAUUUCUUCCCUAUCUCCAGGCCCUCUGAGUCCACAGUGGGGUGGAGUAAUGAGGUCACUUGGCAAAUGAUUUCAUUAAUUUAUUUAUUUGCCUACAUCAGAAAAGCAGUCUUUCUCUGAUGUAGGUCAGCCAGUGUUUGGAAAUCACAUUAUGUAAGCCAGGAAACCCAGGGGUUUUGUUUAAAUGGGCUUCCAUCUGUAAAACACACCAAACAGAUUCAUAUUAGCACGUGUAGCCAGUAGACUACCCCAGCUGUAGAAGGAAUCUGGAAGCAUUUCUACUCUGAACUGGCCAACUCACAUUCUCCACAACAGCUUUCAAACACAUUCUCUCUGAAUGUUUAUAAAGAUCUCCAGAUAUUCUGAGCUACAUUCAUCUACAUUGAAAAAGCUCAGGGAUAAGGCCCGUGUUUAGCAUGUCCAAGGCCCAAGAUUUGGUCUGCAGCACCACGAGAAAAUUAAAAACUAUACCUCACUAGAAUUUUGAGACCAUUAUCCACCUUCACCAUGGCUGAAGCACCGUGGCACUGCUGAUGUCUGUACCAUACAUAUAACAGGGGCCGGCUGUGACUCACUACGUUGCUAAGCCACCAGCAGGAAAUGAUCUAUAGUUUUAAAAAACAGACCUGAUCCAAUCAGUGAAGUAAAAGGUGAGGAAGUGAAAAGCCACUCAGUGUGGCUUAAAUUAAUAAGAAAAGUUGUAAACCAUUUGCAUAAUUGUGUGCCAGUCACCAAGUGGCCUUUGGAACAUGUCUUUUCUAUGUAUAUAUUAUUUUUCAGUUUUUAUCUAAGUCAUGACUUCUCUCCCCAAAACACUCUUCAGUGUUUCACACCUCGAUACCUGGUCUUCUUGCUUCUGAAUAUGAUACUGCUAAAGGACUGGCUGUGGACAUGUGUUUGAAAUCCUAAAAAAGCCAGUACCAUCGAUCAACAAGCCCAGGAAGAGGUAGACAGAUACUGCUACCAGGAAAAGAGCAGGUGAAAAUGACAGAGUAAGAUGGAGAAGGAAGACAUCACAAACAGGCAAAGCCCAAAGUAUCCAUCUAGGAAAAAGAACAAACGCUGAGCAGGCACGUAAUGUUGGGAGUAUCUAGAGUGGUCAUAGCCUUUAUGUCAUCUUCUGUUCCCUUCUCUUUAUUAUAUUUACAGUGUCCCUUAUCUCACCUGUCAGAAUUGCUGUUCUUCAAUCUCCCUUGACUCUAAUACCUUGACAUAAAUGUUUAUUAGACAAUAGUAUUUAUUAAAUGAACAAGUCAAAUAUAGCAAUACCCAAUUAAAGACCCUUAGCUCCCAAGUCUCGUCUUCACAGUGGCAUCAGGGCAUUAAAGGAAGCAUCCUUCCAAGGGCCCACUGGCUGGGUAAGCCAUUCCAGCCCUGCCCCGUGCAGACAAUGCUGGGCUCCUCUUUCCCAGUGUCUAUAAAAAUAGGCCUCCAGUUCUUGAAAGAACUUGAGCAGAACAGCUGACUUGGUGCCUGAAACCCAGGACCCAGCCCAGAACUCAGAUAAGAACUCUAAUAAAGUUAACACAGGUUCUUGAACUGUAACCCAUUUAGUUUCAAGAUCUUAACCGGGUUUGUGAUUCUUGAAUUGAGCAACACUGCAUUAAAUAGGUGCUCUAAUAGGCUACAGAGUGAAGUUAGUUUUAUACUCAGCAAAGGCUGCAAAAAGGAUAAAGAACAAAAAGUGGAUUUGUUAUUUUAAGGCUAAUUUCCUUGAGGUGGGUGGGAGAACAUUUCUAUACUAUAGUGCUUGCCUGGUGGUAUGUGUGAGGCCCAGACCUCAGUUCCCAGAACCAUAAAAACAAGACAAAAACCUGGGGGCUGGAGAGAUGUCUCAGUGGUUAAGGCUGCUUUUCCAGAGGACCCCAACUUAAUUCUCAGUACUCACAUGUCAGCUCAUGACUGUUUAACUCCAGUUCCAGAGAGUCCAAUGUCCUCUUCUGGGCCCUGCGGACACUGUACUUACAUAGUACACAGACAUACAUGCAGGCAAAAUACCCAUACACAUAAAAUUAAACAACAACAAUAAACCCCAAAAACCUACUAUCUAUGUGAGGAGACAAAAAUACCAUAGGUUAUUUCAAGUAAUUUGUUUUUGCAAAGACUAAAACAGAGGAAACCUCAUUAUUAGGCCUAUUAAAAUUUUCCUAUUGGGGGAAUUACCUCAUAUUGUUACCUUUUAUUUCUGAAAAGCUAAAUAACUUAGUCUUGAUUGGUUGCCUUUGGCCAGAGUAACUUUUAGCCUGGUCUGCUGGGACCCUGGGCAGGAGCUCAGCCCAGAGCAGUAGCCUCCUACAGUUUUUAUGCAACAAACGCAAUUAUCAAACACUUAAUGAGAUGCCACUUUUGGGCCAAACACUGUGCUGGAUGCUACGAGGUGAGCAGAACUUUGUCCUCAGAGCGCUCAGCCUAUGGGAAAGACAAAAAUAAUCUACUCAGUGAGUUUAAGGCUAGCCUGGGCUCAUGACAUUUUGUCUCUCUCUCUCUCUCUCUCUCUCUCUCUCUCUCUCACACACACACACACACACACACACACACACACACACACACACACACACUGGGUACAAAGGUAGGGGAAAUGCCCAGAAGACCAGAUUUUGGAAGCAGUGAGAUGAGGUGAGAAUAGGGAAGCUUUUAAACUGAGACACUAAGAAUGAAGAAACAUUAGACAAGCAAAAUCCAUAGUAGUCUAGGCAGAGUGUGGUCAAGAAUUCUGCUUCAAUCAACUAUGGCAGUGCACGCCUAUAAUCCCAGCACUACACACGUAGAGGCAAGAAUACUCCAAAUUUGGGGCCAGCCUAGAGAAACAAACAAACAAAAUCUGGCCUAAAGUUUCUUUCCACAGUGUUAGAUUUCAUUUUCCUUCACAGGCUAUUGGGUGUGGCCUCCUUAUACAGACUCACUGAAUUUCUGUUUGGUGAAAGAAACACUGAAUGUCAUAGGCAAUUAAAAUGGUCAGUUAGCCCUUUAGCACUGCAUUGCCCACUGUCUAUGCACAGAGAAGUUUGUAAACACCUAGGAAUUAUUUACUUCACACCAAUAACACCAGCCCAUGGAUCAGCCAGCCCGUGGGUCUUUGGCUGUGACAUCCAUUAUGUUGCACAGAACAAACCAGCCUGGCCCUGAUAGACUGCUCACAACAUUUAAAGUCACAUAUAUAGAGGGCUGGAGAGAUGACUUGUGUGUAAAGAGCUUGUAUUGCUCUUCUGGAGGACAUGAGUGAGGCCCCCAACACCCUCAUCAAGCUGUACCUCCAGUUCCAGAUUGGACCCUCGGGCCUCUGUGGGCAUUUGAACUCAUGCAACCCACAAACAGCACCCACAUAGACAUAACUAAAAUAAUACAUAUUUUUGAAAAAUCAAAUUUGUAUGUAAUUUUUUGACAGGUUGUUAUGGCUUUAAAAUACUACUUUAUAAACUGGCCAUGAUGGCACACAUUUUUAAUCAUAGGACCCAGGAAGCUGAGGCAGGAGGAUCAUGGAUUCAAGGUCAGCUUGGGCUAUCCAUCAAGACCCUGACUCAAUCAAAACAAACCAAAACCUAUGUUAUAGUUAAAGCUAUACUUUUAAAGUGAAACGGCUAUAACAAAAUCUUUAAAAUAAUGUUUAGAGCUGGGGCUGGGGCCCAAUGCCAGAGCACUUGCAAGUCAUGUGUGAGCCCGUGUUCCAUUCCCAUUCUGGAACCCCAAAUGAUUUUCAAAUACACCACCUCGGACAACCUACUGUGCUAAGUGUCUCUCACUUUACCUUACACCACACAAAGCUGAUUUCCCUCCAGUAUAACCAGUUGAAACUGUCACGUUGCCAGUGACCUGCUCCAGUACAGUUCGUUCCGAAUCCCAACUCCCCCCAGUAUUAGGAGACUCACAAUACCUGCUGCUCCAACACUGGAUGCUUCUGGGUCCACAGUUCCAUGAGAGUUGAGACCUGCCUUGGCUGGAAAGUUCCAGUUCCCCCUUUUUUUCAAUUUCUAGUUGAAUAGAACCCAAACAAUUCUUUUUCAGUGAAGUGAAAAAAUUAAUGAAAUCAUUCCAUGUUUCAGCAAGGAAGCUGCCCCAGCAACUCCAAUACUGCCCAAGGAAUGUCCCAUCUAAGGGAAGAAUGCUACCAGAGUCAGUAGCCGUGGCAAGCAGGUAGACUGUGAAAAUUUGUUUUCCUUCAGUAGUUAUGGUGGAGUGACAAAAGCAUUCUUUACCGUUUCUUAGUAAUUAAAUGUCACCUCAACAACCAAAACAAACCCAGAGUAACAUGUGGUAUGACUGUGUUAUUUUUGCACCAUGGCGCCUGACUGUAUGCUUUACUUCCUCCCUGUAUGAACCUAGGGUAGGAGGCAAGCCAAAGUUACUUCCACAGAGAAGGUGGCAACCCAAUUAGAACACUCCAACUCAGUUACUAAGAAUAUGUCCAUGAUUUCGCUUUUAGAUUUCAAGCCAUUUAAACUUGUGUUUUACUUUUUCUUUUCUGUUCAGAUACAAAAGCAUUUAGACCAGAGAUUCUCAACUUUUCUAAUACUGUGACCCUUUAAUACAGUUUCUCAUGUUGUGGUGACCCCCGAACAUAAAAUUAUUUUCAUUGCUACUUCAUAACUGUAAUUUUGCUACUUUUAUGAAUCAUAAUGUAAAUAUGUGUUUUCUGAUGGUCUUACGUGAUCCCUUAUAGCAAGGUCACUUGAUCCCCCAAAAGGGGUCACAACCCACAGGUUGAGAACAGCUGAUUUAGUUUUCCCUAAAUGCCAAACCUCUGCUGGAUGCUGUAGUUCCCAUAGCAACCUAAUGAGGCAGGAUUGGUAGGACCCAUGUACAGGGAAAGUGGAGGUACUACGGAACCCCUGGCUUAUACAGACUUCAACAGUGGAGACUGAUUUUAAACCAAGCCUUUUCACUCUGAUAUCCUAAGUGUUUCUCUACCAUGUUAUACUUAUGAGACAGUUCUCAAUUCUUAUUUGAGAUAGUCAAGUAUUUCUAAAUGGCUAAAAUUUUUACAUGGUAAUUUGUUUUAGCAAUAUAUUUUUUAAUCUUAUUCCAUGCUAGGAGCUGAGCCCAGGCCAAACCUUUACCACUGAGUCAAAAUCCUAUGUUUCUAUGCAAAAUGAUGCUAUUAGUAAAUGAAGAAUGUUCAGCCCUUCCCUAAGUUCUCAGGAAACAAGCAGGGAAAUUAAAGGGCUAUGGCCCUGGUUGUUUUUUUGUUUUUGUUUUUGUUUUUGUUUUUUCUUCUUUCUAAAUUGAAAUGACAGAGCUCAUAGUCUUGAGGAGGAAAGGUGAAGUUGAGCUACAGGAUGGAGUUUGGGCAGAAUCCACUAUGGACAUUUCCAGGCCAAGAUGCUGACAAAUUACAGUAGGCGCACUGCAAGAAGCAGAGAUUCUGCUCCAAAGGUUCUCAAUGCAAUCCCUACAGCAAACUACCCAUGGAUGGGUCUUCUAACUGGGCACUUAUAAAACAAAUGAGUCAGUUUUCCUCUUCCCCAGAAGGUCCAGAGUUACCCUAUUUCUCUUAUACACACCUUCUGAUGCAGGCUUCCUAGGAAAAUAGAUUGUCCUUAAAAAUUGCUUUCCUUAAGUGGGGCAUGGUGACACAUUCCUUUAAUCCCAGAUCUCAGGAGGCAGAGGCAGGCAGAUGUCUGUAAGAUCCAGGCCAGCCAGGGCUACUUAUACUCAAAUAUAUAGGUAAAAUAAAUAAACUGCCUUUUAUGGCCAGGAAUGGCUGCAAAUGCGGGAAGUAUAGACAGGAGGACUGGCCGGUUCAACACCAAUAACUUCAUAGUGAGUUCAGGGCCAGCCUGGCCUACUGUCUCAAAAAAUGAAAGCUGGGUGGUGACAAUGCAGUCCUUUAACACCAACCCAGCACUUGGGAGGUGGAGGCAAGUUGAUCUCUGUGAGGCUAGGAUGUUUUGUUUUGUUUUGAAGCAGCUCUUUGGGCUUACAUACCCAAACUGCAUAGUCCCCAUCCACUGGGAAUUCAGGAACAUGAACACUCUAUUGACCCUUUGAAAUUGGCCCAUUUCUUACACCUCCUCCCUAAUCCCAAGCUCUUCCCUUUACUGUAGUUUUUUUGUCUGGUUUCCAUUUCUAUUUCAGUUGAUGACAUCAGUUUUUUAAUUGUCCCAGAAGAUAAAAAUGUAAGUGUCCCAAAGACAUUAAUUCCAUACUUAAUUCCAUAGGCUUCUAGAAAGGCAAAAAGUGUCAAUUUAUUAUAAAAUAUGUAUACAACAAAGAAAUCCAUUGUGACAUCACUGAUUCUGAAGUAUAAAAAGAUAGCACAUUUACUGAAUUCAUUUUCUCUUGUGGAUAAGGUUGAUUAAAUGCCUAACUUCUUAGGAAAUCCCAUUUUUUCUUGGUCGUGUACAUUGUCAUAUACUAAAGAAAAUGACAUAUAACACAAACAAGAAACCAGGAAAAGUUACAGAAGAGUAGGAUGAACCCAGGUCCUGGUGUUUAAAAGGAAAGCAGGCUUGGAAAAGCAGAGGAGAAUCAGUGUCUUGAAGAUGUCAUCAGUUAUGCAUUGCUUCUCACAGCUGUCACAGCAAAGCUCAGCACAGGCAUUUCAACAAAAUGCAGAAUGAUUGUGUUUUUCCCUCUCCAAACAAAACACGAACACUGCUGAGACUUAAAACGAGGUACAGUGGCAAUCUCAGGGAAGUCACAGCACUCUGUUCACUCCGUGGUGAUCUGCAGGUAGCAGCCUACCUAAGUGAACCUGUGGAAUGGCACUCGGAGUUCAGGUUUAACUAGAUCUUAAUGAGUGGCCAUUCAGCCCCCUUCUUAGAUUGACCUUAGGGAGCUGCAAAAUGAAUGCUUCUAGCACUUGAUGAGGGCAGGGGCCUUUGGAUAACAGCAACAACAAAAAUCAGCCAUUUAUUAUUCUGGGAUUCUUGGUAGGUCAUUAGCCAUUAUUCUAAACAUACACAACUUCACAUUUCACAGAAGCCCAAACAUAAUUGAAAAUUUCCCAGCUAUAUUGAAUAUACACUCUACACAGACUUGUAGGUCUCACUGGUGAGGCUCACUGAAGGCAACAGUUCUGCUAAUGUCACUGCUCCCACUUGAUGUCAUCUCUCCUCAAUUUCACCUGCAGAUUGUGAACUUGUACUGGACGAAAGCUGCUGUUUUUCUGUAAAGGGUUAGUUUCAUUCAAACCCUUCCUGGAGCUAGUUUUAAUGUUCUUUGGUCCUUUAGGGUUGUCAUGUUCCUGAAGGACACAUGAAGAUUCAUUUAUCCUUGAGUUCUGAACUUUUUGCUGCAGCUUACGGACCUGUAGAGAAAAGAAAAUCUAAUGUUUUUGGUAAAAAUUAAUAUAAAUAUACCCCAAAGUAGAUGACUAGAUUGGUGGCUUAAAGAUUACGGCAAAAGGUUCAAUCCAGCAAGUUACUCAGUGACCACCGGAUCCACAGCUGACAUUGAUAGCCAAGCAGCCGAGUAACACGUAAAACAGCCUUGCCUUCAGGAAGCUCACUGCUCCAAUGAAUGAGGGACAGAGAAUGCUUGAGCUGGGACAACUCUGAAGGGAAGACUGUGCAUGUGAGAAGAAGGUCACAGUAGCGAAUGGGUGCGGGUGUUGAGCAAAAGGUUACGGGUCAGAACUAGAGCUCCAAGACCGGGAAUUCUUUUAGAUGAUACUAAUAGCAAAGUAAAGAAUUGGUGCUAGGAACAAGUGUUUAUUUGCUUAGGAGGCAAUUUUAAAUUAAAGAUUAAAUUUAUCACAAUAAAAGGCUUAUUGAAAUACUUAUUCAAAUUCUAAAAUGCAUAGAUUGGGUAACUCUAAAAUUGUGAUUAUUGUUCUAUCCAAAGUUUCUUCUAUGCAAUUCCAAGAAAGGGUACAAGUUGUAUAAUCUUUACCCAAACACAAUCAUAACAUUUUUUGUUUUUUACUUGUUAUAGUCUUAAAAGGGUGUAAAAUGAAAAUAACAUUUUUCUUUCUUGGCCACAAGCAUAACGAAUAGAGUAAUAUUCAGAGAUUUUACAAAUCACUGUCCUACAGAAGCAUGUGUGGAUGGAGGGUUGAUAUACCAGCGUCUUGCCUGGAUGCUGACCAUCCCUAGGCAGAGAGCUGUAUGAAGUACAUGAUGUGGUUGUGAGGUUUCCUGGAAAGACUCCCUUCUGUUUCAGCAACAGAAGUCAUAGUGUUUUAACUUCAGCUCUGGAUGGAGUCAUUGUCUUACUGUAAAAUACUAUACUCAUGAUUCUUCUGUUAAAAUAUUGAAGGCUAUGCCAUUCUUAGUUGCUAACACACAAGUACAAAGUCCUCCACACCUGAGUUCUACUAGCUAUAGGUGGCUAAGCAUAGGUUCCCAGGGAACACACUACAGCCCAGGAGAAGGCAGAGAAUGGUUCCAGGGUUGUGGUACCAGGUUUCUGUGUGUUACUGUCUCUGUGGGCACAAAGGACAUCACUAAAGCAGUGGGACGGAAGGCAAGAGAGAGGGAUGCCGGAAGGGGGACCGGAAAGAUGCGAAGGCAACAGCCUUCUAUACAGUUUCCCCAAGGUCUGACUCCACACGAUCUCGUUUGCUUUCACUCUUAUCUUGAAGAACUGAAAAGGAGGCCCAAGUCAUUACAGCAGUGAUGGCUCUCUGUAAGAGGAACAAGUGACUCCUUUGUGUCUUUUAGAACACCUUACCCACAGACUUCCAUUUAGAAGGCCAUACAGAGAUGUGACAUUGAAUCCACAUAUAUGUUGCAGAAUAUUUGUUUAACUAUGUAGAGAUGUAUUGCAUUUGUUUAAUUAUGUAAAGAUGUGUUGCUGUUUUACCUUGCCUGCCUAAGGCAUCUGAUUGGUCUAAUAAAAAGCUGAAUGGCCAAUAGUGAGGGAGGAGGUACAGGUGGGACUUCCGGGCAAGGAAAGUAAAUAGGAGGAAUAAUUUAGGUUCAGGGAAGAAAGAAAAAGAGAUGCCAGGGGCCAGAAAAACAGACACGGAGGAAGCAGGAAAGUAGGACAUAUAGAAUGAAAGAAAGGGAAAAAGCCCUGAGGUAAAACAUAGAUGAAUAGUAACAGGUUCAAUUAAGUUAAAACAGCUGGUGGGACAAGCCUAAGCUAAGGCUGAGCAUUCAUAAUUAAGAAUAAGUCUCCAUGUCUUUAUACGGGAGCUAGUUGUCAGCCCAAAGAAAAUUCCAACUACACAUAUAUUUCUAGCAGUUCUUUUUUAUUUUUUCCAACAUUGUAUGGCAAUUGUUUUUGUGUUCUGAAGACGGGUAGUUCUCAGAAGAGCAGCGUUUAUUUAAGUAAAGUGUUCUUACACUGUCUUGAUGCUUUUUGAGUUUGGAAAUCUGGUCUCCUUUGCUUUCUAUCUUCUUAGCUAAUUGCUCCAGUUCAUGCUCUAUGUCAUCAGAGUACCUUCCAGGUUGCAUCAUUUCUUUCAGUAGUUCUUUGUGCUCCCUGUAGAGAAGAGCAAACAUCAGCGGGGGGAUGUAACUCGGAGAGUGCUUCUCUGCAUGUCAGAGCUUGUGUUCAAUACUUAAUAACACAAACAAAAAUAAACAAACAAAUAAAUAAAAACACAGAAGUAGUAUUAUCUAACAUGACACAUGGAUUAUUUUUGCAUAAUUGAAAACAGAGCAAACAUCAAAUAGUGUUAUAGAUCAUCUGUCACAAGUAAUUUUUUUGCUCAACUAUGACUUUUACUUAAGAGUAAAAUAUUAAUCUUCAAAAACAGUCAUAGCAUUAGGAUAUCUAACUUAAUCAUGGUAAACAUAAUCAUUUAGAACUAUCACAGUAUCUAGCUGUUCAAUAAUCUGAAACAACAAUCUAAAUUCUUGGUGUUCUCAGCUAAAAAGAAUGAACAGUUCGAUAGGGCUUUGCCAGAAGCAAAACACGUCUGGGACUGGAGAUACUGUCAAGAGAGCAGUUGUGAGUGUAGUGGCAGUUCAUGAGUUCAGCGAGUCUGCCAGCCAGGUCAUGUGGUUCUGAUGUAUUUGCUGAAAUGUAUUUAAGCAUGGGCUGUAAGACAAUUACUCCUGUGCAGAGGAUGCUUCCAAAUUUGCAAUGCAGAUCAGGCAGAAUCUAAAAGGAAUGAUAUUCUUACUUGCCUAAUAAAAUCACCCACAUAACUUAAAGAUUUCAAAAGAAAAGCAUAUUUUCCUUCUAAAAGCUCUUCUGAGUUCUAAUCUAAAGUCUUCAGGCUCCAUACAUUUGAUUCCUAUUUGUCAGUCUAAAUCUCUGGAAUAAAGGAAAGUAGUAAUUAAACACAGUUACAAGGUUAAAUACUACAGCAGAUACAGUGAAAAAUAGUUAAGCUUGUGGAUCAAAACAAAGUAAGUCCAAAUAGCCAGAGAGGCCUUAAGAAUUUCCAGGUGGGCGCUAGAGAGACCACGGAAGGGUAGAGAAUGUGUGCUGCUCUUGCAGAGGACCAGAGUCAGGCACAACCUCUGUCAGUCCAGCUGCAAGGAAUCUGGCUCCUCUUAUGCAAUCUGUGAGACCUGUGCCGGGUGUACAUAUCCACUCUCACACAGCAUUUUUUAAACUAAUACAAAUCUUAAUGAAAUGAAGUUAUAGGUGAUAUUGCUCUUAGAAGAGUCGAGAAAAGAUGUAUCUAAACAUGUAUGGUUAUUUUAAUAAAGAAGAAACACUUACACAGUCA